GGACCCAGUUCAGGCUGUGCUAUGCUGUAAAAUACUACUUUCUCCGCAUCUGGAAUUCUUCCCUUCCUCCUUCUUGCCGCAGUGGCGUACUGAGCACUUUCACAAAGAACAAAAUUUUAAAUACAUUGAAAACGACACCUGUAAUUUGAGAAGAUGCUUGACAUCAGGAGAGGAGAAGAGUGGAGAGAGGUGGAGUGGCAAAGAAGAGUCUCCAAACCAAAAGCCUGCGUGCAGAGGCCCUAGGAGGCAAGCACUUACCAUGUUUCGGGAAUAGAAACGAAACAUAUGACAAGACUCUUAAAAACAAAUAGAAUUGGGAUGGAAUAAAGUUGGAUGAGUAAGCAGACAUCAAAUCGUUCAGAAACUUGUAGUCCAAGUUGAAGAAUUUGUUUAGUAUUGUAUAAUAAAUGCAGAGGAAGCUAUGUACAUUUAUAAUUUACAUUUUUUAAAGGCCACGUUGUAGCUCAAUCGGAUAGUUUGUCUUUUGAUGGAAUGUAGUAUACAGUAUCAUCAUGAUAUAUUCCAGGCAAAAAUAUUUAACUUGAAUCUAUCAAGCCUUUGCAUCUAACAGACUUUAUAAAAAAAUACAACUGAUAGAUGAACAAACUAAAUGAUGCCAGAGGAAGUAACUAGACAGAAGGUGAAACCAGAAGGUGAAACAUUCUGCAGGAUAACUGGCCCAUCUCUUCAACAAUUUGUCAUGAAAAAAGCAACUGCUUAUGAAAAGAAAUUUAAGGGACAUAACAGUUUGAAUUGGAUCCUAGUUUGAACAGACUAUAAAAUGCAUUUUCAGGAACAUUAAAGAAAUAUGAAUGUAGAUGGACUAAGUAUUGGAUAAAAUAGAACUGUAUUGCCAUGGAAAAGAUCAUUAACUGAAAAGAGCAAGUCACGAAGUAGUAUGUUACAGCAUCCCAUUUUGGUUUAAAAAUGCACAUCUGUGUAUUUAGGUACAAUGAAAAAAAUAGUGGCCUUAUACCCUAAGGUGUUAGUAGUGGUAAUCUUUGGAAGUGGAAAUGUGUAUUUUCUUAUUUAUGUUUGCCUAUCUUUUUCAUUGUAACUUUUGCAGCACAUAGACUACUUUCAUUAUAGUAAAAGUUUAUUUUACCACAAUUUUUUUUUUUUUUUUUUUUUUUUUUUUUUGAGACAGAGUCUCAAUCCGUCACCCAGGCUGGAGUGCAGUGGCACAAUCUCAGCUCACUGCAACCUCCGCCUGCCAGGUUCAAGCUAUUCUCUUGCCUCAGCCUCCUGAGCAGCUGGGACUACAGGUGCAUGCCACCAUGCCUGGCUAAUUUUUGUAUUUUUAGUAGAGACUGGCUUUCGCAACAUUGGCCAGGCUGGUCUCGAACUCCUGGCCUCAAGUGAUCCACCCACUUCAACCUCACACAGUGCUGGGAUUACAGGUGUGAGCCACUGCACCUGGCCUAUUUUACCACAAUUUAUAAAAAGUUUUGUUUAUUUUAAGUUAUUCUAGGUUAAAAUAAGUAGCCACCCUUGGCUGAUGCAUAAAUAAAACAUUAGAGGAAGGAAAGAAUGGAAGCAAGGAGGCAAAUCAUGAGAUCAUUUCAGAAAUCAAGACAAGAUCAUGAAAGCUAACAUUAACAAGAGUGAACCAAACGGUUAAUAUCUUUGAGUUUAAAACUGAAGAAUUUACCAAUGAAUUGCAUAGGAAAGUAAAGGGAGUGGUCAAGGAUAGAUCCUAGUUUUGGGGCCAGAACAUCUGAGUGGUUAGUAGAAUCAUUACCAGUUGAUAACCCAUGGAAGAGGGUCGGGGAUGGGUUAUGUCUUGUAGGUUGGUUGACAGGACUGACCCAUUGGGAAGAUAAUGAAGAAGCAAAGUAUAUGAAAAGAGGAGGAGAAAGGGUAACCAGAGGAGGGAGGAUACAAAGAGAGUAAUUAGCCAUCAGAAAGAUGAGGGACAUGACAUUUGUUGAGGCAGAUGACGGGGAAAAGAAAGUUAACAUAAAUAUGGUUAGUUUUGUGACAUUGACCGAAGGAAGAUUAAGGUGAUACUAUCUGAUGGCUUAGAAUGAAAACCAAACUCCCUACCACAACAUGAUGGUCUUUCUCUGCAACUUCAUAUUUUGCCUCUUGUUCCUCAUUUGUUACCACUGAGUCACAGUGGUCUUUUUAGUUUCUCAACUCACCAAGGUCUUUCUUGCCUCAUGGGACCUAGAAUGUUUUCUCCCUUUCUUCAUGUCUUAGUUGAAAGGUCUCCUCUCCUCAUCAUCAUACUAUCUAAAGUACAUUCCCUCCCUUGUUAACCUCCAGCGCAGCCAUUAGUUCCUUCAUAACACUUACCCUAACUUGCAAGUAUUUUGUUUGUUGAUUUAAUUUUUAUCUGACUUCCCCACUAGAAUGUAACCUCCAUGAGGGCAAAAAUUGUGUGUUUUGUAUACCGAUAUGUCUCUUAACACUUGGUAUAGCAGGCACUCAAUUUCAAUUUUAAACUCAAAGAUAGUAUCUUAAUAAACAUUUGUUCUUUGCUCACACAAAGUCUAAUAUGGAACAGGCUUAGAGUUGUCCUCCAACCAGUGUCUGAGCAAUCCAGACCACUUUGAUCUUGUAACUCUGCCGUCCCAACAUGAGAUUCCACUUUCGCUGCAGAAGAGGGAAUCUGUAGCAUCAUGCAGUGGCUUGUCACUACCUCAGCCCUCCCACUUCCCCUUGUAUUUCACUAGCUAGAACCUUUCAUAUGGCUCCGCCAAACUGCAACGGGACUGGGAAGGGAGAAUCAGAUAUUAGGGAGCAUUCAUAAUGCCUUCCGAGGGGUGUGUUUCACUGCUUCCAAACUUGCUUAUGAUGAUGUUAGUUUUUCAUCUAUGUGAUGAAAUGCCAUGUAUUCUUAGUGUGUGUUCUCAGCAUAACAAAUACAUUUUGGGAAUAUUAAGUAAAUGGAUUUUCUUUCUC
ensembl:lncRNA